rnacentral:misc_RNA from 1 species
UAACCAAUUAGUUAGUUGGCCCUUAAUCCUUGUAAACCCCUUAGCUUUGAUGUUUCUUUUAGAUGUGAGACUCUUAACAGAUGGAAAUAUUUACACCUCCAGAUUUCCCUUCCCAGCACUCUGACCAUAAAUGAGUAGCCAUGAAAUAUGCUUUAAAACAUAAGCAAUACAAGAUUCAACUUAAAAACUCUCCUCUCUACCUUCAGGACAUGGACUGCUAAA